CCGACCACACUGAAAGCCACAAGCUAGGGAUCCAAGGCCGUGCACUUGCGCCGUCCGAGUUACCUGGGUGCGGCUGGCGGAAGUUGCCUUUUCUUCCGGAAGGGUCCACUUCCCUCCCGCCAAAUGUGCCCGCUUCUGGCCCCCAGGGACAGGAGCCCUUUCGCCUGGCUCCCCCGGCUUUCCAGUUUCCCUGAACCAUGGAAGCCGGUGCCAAGGGAUUUUCGUCUCCGUGUUGGAAAUCUCCCACCCCUCCCCUCCUUCCCGUAAACACACUCUCCGGCCGAGAGAGCGACACCGCGCACCCUGGCCGCGCGCGCGGCCAGACUUUGUUAAUAUUUACAGCGAGUGGCUCAGAAAGCUAUUAGCUUCCUUUUCUUGUUAAUUGAAAGAGGAGAAAAUGGUUGUAACACUUCAAAAGGACUUAAAGCGCAGUCUGAGAGACCAGCUGAAUAAGGAGAAAGGGAAAAAAGAGCGACCGACCACGUAAAAUAAAAGGAAGAAAGGAAGCCCACACCUCACGCGUCACGCGAGGGUGGACUGGUGCUCCUUCUCCGUCUCGGCAGACGCCUGGCUUUCCUCUGAGGUUUCCUCAUUGCUGCUCAUUGUAUAUUUUCCUUUUCAUUUGGGAGCCUGCCUUAAGGAGAGAAGGAGGAAGAAAAAGGAUUCGAGGUGCACUUUUGUUAAUAACGAGGCUCUUUGAAGCCGCGGCUGACGAGGCCCCUGGUAUCUUUGCUCCUGGGGCACACGAGGCCUGGCCUUGCCCGGCACCUACAAGCCCAGGGGCUUCCCUGAUCGGUGGCCACCAACACACAGGCAUUCACUUCCCGGGAUGCAGGCCCAGAUGGGGCACUGGGCUAAAGCCAUUCCCGGGCCCCUGACCUGGCUGGGUGUACCUUGGGGAAGCACUUGGGCCUCAGUCCCCUGUGGACCCUAGGGACAGCCAGGGAUGCCACGGUCAUGAGAGGGGUGGGGACUUUCUGAAUCCCUGUAGACGAGGAGCUGGAGGUCCAGCCUUGCCAAGCCUCUGGCCUCUGUGGUCCGCCUCCCCAGGCCACUUUUCCUAGAGAUCAAGGAUUCCUCCUUCUGUACCUACACAUUCAGCUUCUGGACUGUGCCCUGAGAUGUUAGCGACCAAACAUCUCUGCCAGGCUCCCUGCCAUCAGAUAGGGGCAGAUUGGGUGACUCAAGAGGCUUUCACUCCGAGAGCCUGCCUUUCAGUUCAGGCUGACAAGUGUCCCCUCCUUCAGGAAGUCCCUGGCCUCUGGCACCCUGCCCUCUAUCAGCCUGGCUUUCUCUGUUUCUACAGAACAAGGUAGAUGCCUGUAGCAAGCACGGAGGGGCCCAGCUCCUGCGUCUGGAUGGGCUGCAGUAAAGGGAGGCCAGACCGUGCAUUGAAGGAGGUCCCCUCCACCCUGCUCCGUCCCUGCUUGUGCGCUGAUCCGACCAGGCAGCAACCCUGUUCUGCUCUUGGGCCCUACAACAGGCACAGCCACACUGCAGGGCAGGAGGCCCUGGGGAGGCCACAGGUGGCUGGGGCAGGGACCGAGGGGCAGACAGGACUCUUCAGGGACGACAGCACUCUCCUGCCCUUGGGUUUCUGGACAGCUGACCCGGAGAAGGAAGACCAACCUGUUCUGGGGGGACCAGAGAUCUAGAAAGACCAGGAGGGAUGUACGGGGAGGGAUUCCAUUAAGGAAGAAAUGGGUAACAGACAGAGAUGCCCAAAGAUGGCCCAGACUGCCGUGGAGGGGAGGUGUCAGGCCGGGACUUGAAGACCCCCUAGCAGAGAGUCCUGGACCCACUGCCAGCCCACUGGCCAGGCUCAGCCUCAGUCUUCCCCACGAUACGGGCAUCCAGGCGGGCUAAGAGCAGCCUGCCCCUGGAAGGCCCACCAGGCCUCCUCGCAUGCCGGCAGGUCAGAGCCCGCGGCCCCUUCUCGGGGGGGCGGGGGGCGGCCCACCAGGCCCAGUACCUCCUCCCUUCCCUUCCAGCUCUGUGGCUCCGGCCUUGACAUUCCAAUCACAUCCCCCAGGCCUGCCUGGAAUACUAAUUCUCCCAAGAUGAAACCGUCCAUGUUUAAUUUUUUUUAAAAGCCAGGCGGAAAGAAAAGACAAGAAACGGGGAGGCAUCCGUGGGUGGAAGUCGGAGCCCUCCUUCGAGCUCUGUUCAGAGCUUCUCUGGGCGGCUGGCCUCGAAGCCACCAGCCACCCUGGGUGGUCACUGGCUUGGGAGGGUUAUUUUUUGAGGCCCUCAGGUGGGAGCCCCUUUAAAAGUGGACAGCCAGGCAAGUUAGGCUUCUGCCCCUCUCCUAUCAGAAGACAGAGCCUGAGGCCUCCCUGGUGGGGGGGGGCUGGGGUCAGCUGGGGACAGAGGGCUGGAGUGGCAGGACCAACAUGGGAGAGCCCAGAGUGGGCUCCAUCUGAGAGCGAGGCCAGAGGCCACGGGGUACGGGGAAGAGGGGCUGGACGGCAGGGACAGGGAGAGUGCUUCAGCGCUGGAUGACCUUGGACGAGCCCUUCCCCGCUCUGGGCCUCGGUGGCCACCCUGGAGCACUAAAACAUGGCUGUUCUUUGGGUUGGGAGGGCUGUUACAGGAAGACUAGGGUCGAGCCCCUCUUGCAGCUUCAACCCCGGUGUUACUUGGGGUCAUGUGUCAUGUCUCUGGGCAUCGGCUUCCGUACCCACGAGGUGGGGGACCGAGGGAAGCUUCUUACAGACCUGUGGUGAGGGUUCCAGGCAGCACGGGGUGAGCGCCCUAAGGACCAGCCUGGCACCCCACGCACAUAUACCAUCACCCGCCAGACAGGUGCACUCAGGAAAACUUCUUCUUCCCCCGCCUGCCCCCGGCCCUCAGCCCCGACCGCCUGGGGAAGCGCCCUCUCACGCCAGCCCGACCCCGGCGGGGUGCCACCUCCCCCACAAGAUCCCAGUGUCACAGUCUAAUGUCCCCAGAGGGACGGAUGAAAUUGUAACGGCAGGAAACAUGACAGAACAUGAAACAUGAUGAAAUCAGCUACAUAAAUUAUGAAAUCCAAAUCCUAGCCCGGCUCCUUCCGCAGCGGGGGAAGGUGCUGGCAGAUGCCCCGCAGGCCGGAGGCUCUGGGUGGAGACCAUGGGGCACCCUGAGCCCCUUGACUGAGCACUGGGAGCACUGGGAGCACUGGCUGCCCACGGCUUCAGCUGCCCCGCCUCCAUGCCCUCCCCCGCCCCUCCUCCUCCUCCUCCUCCUCCUCCUCCUCCUCCUCCUCCAGGGAGCUUCAGGGAGACAGAGCCCUGAAUGGCCCAGGGUCAGAGGCUGGGCCCUGCCUCCAUGAGAUACGACGCUUUCCAUUUCUACUCUGCGUCUCCCAUGGAUCAGACUCCGGUCAAGGCCAUGGCCGGACUGGUCCCUUCCGCUGCCCUCUCCCCGUUCGCUUCCUCCCUUAGAUUUUCCCUGGGAGCUUGGACGUAGGACAAACCCCCAGCUGCUCGGUGGAGAGAUCCACCACUGCUUCUCCCUGCCCCGUUUUAUUAUUUUUUUUAAAUAGUUCUCCUUUUCAGUUUUUUAGUUAUUUUAUUCUGCUGUUUAUUCUUUUAAUUUUAUUUAUGUAUUUUAAGAGAGAGAGGGUGCAGUGGGGAAGGGGCAGAGAGAGAGGCUCCUGUUCGUGCGGAGCCUGAUGUGGGGCUCGAACCCAUGAAUCCGUGAGAUCACGACCUGAGCUGAAGUCAGAUGCUUAACCGACUGAACCACCCAGGCGCCCCCUCCCUGCCCCGUUUUAGUCUUAGGACACCUCUGCCACGGAACGUGGGCCUGAAUGGCGGUCAGGGACGAGGCCUGGGCCUGCGCAGUCCUCUAGCUGCCGGCCCCUCCCAUCUAGGCAGCCGGCCCUGCCCCCAGCCUCCACUUCCUCCCUCCUCCCUGGGCACAGCCUCCCCAGUCCCCACCCCGGCCCUUGCAGCCACCUGUGAGCGCUAGGCUGGUACAGGCAGGGUGACUCCAAGCAGACGUAAGCACGUUUUGGCCACCUCUCCUCCGCUGCGGGGGCUGUGACAUAAAUUAUUAUCGACCCAAUGCCGGCUGGGGCUGGAGACGAGAUGGGGAAAUAAAGCACUGGGCUCAAUAAUUGUGCCCUGCUGGCUGAAUUUA